rnacentral:lncRNA from 1 species
CUGCCAGGGACAUAUUGAACAUUCUGGGUCUUUCUUCUUGAGAUCUCUUGAUUUGGAUACCCUCCUAUCAAUGCAGAUUAGGCAUUGUUUUUCAAUUUUCCAAUUUCAUAGGGUUGCAUGGGGCACCAAAAGGUUAAAUAAUUUGUCCAGGGUCACAGGCUGCCAUUCUAUCUUCGUGACCCAAUCCACUGAAUGAUUUUCUUCAAAGGGUCAAGUUCAGGUUCACACCAAGUAGGCAGCAAGAAGCCAGACCUCAGAGGAGCAGAGGAGACUGGAAGAUACCAAUAUGUAAGCAGAAACCGAACUAUAAAAGAACAGUACCUGAAAGGAAAAGCAAGAGAACUGGAUCAAGCCCAAGAGUUCAAGAGGGAAUUACACCUGUUUGCUGUCCCCCUCACAACAUGAAAAACCCAUAAUCAUUCCUCCAACUGGAAACCAAAUCUGUAUUAUGUUAUACAUCUUUCUAAUUUUCUUCUAUUGAAUAAAAAUUUGUAUCCCACUAUACCUGGAGUCCA